ACUUGGAAGAUUCAAGUGCACAGUUUGACU
rnacentral:piRNA from 1 species